UACGGGGGGGCAAGCGGUUGUCGGAAUUACUGGGCGUAAAGGGCUCGUAGGUGGCCAACUAAGUCAGACGUGAAAUCCCUCGGCUUAACCGGGGAACUGCGUCUGAUACUGGAUGGCUUGAGUUUGGGAGAGGGACGCGGAAUUCCAGGUGUAGCGGUGAAAUGCGUAGAUAUCUGGAGGAACACCGGUGGCGAAGGCGGCGUCCUGGACCAACACUGACACUGAUGAGCGAAAGCCAGGGGAGCAAACGGG
rnacentral:rRNA from 1 species